AAUCUUCGGCAAUGGGCGCAAGCCUGACCGAGCGACGCCGCGUGCGGGAUGAAGGCCUUCGGGUUGUAAACCGCUGUCAGAGGGGAUGAAAUGCGUGGGGGUUCUCCCCCAUGUUUGACAUAGCCUCAGAGGAAGGACGGGCUAAGUUCGUGCCAGCAGCCGCGGUAAGACGAACCGUCCAAACGUUAUUCGGAAUCACUGGGCUUAAAGGGUGCGUAGGCGGCGCGGAAAGUUGGGUGUGAAAUACCUCGGCUCAACCGAGGAACUGCGCCCAAAACUUCCGUGCUCGAGGGAGAUAGAGGUGAGCGGAACUUAGGGUGGAGCGGUGAAAUGCGUUGAUAUCCUAAGGAACACCGGUGGCGAAAGCGGCUCACUGGAUCUCUUCUGACGCUGAGGCACGAAAGCUAGGGUAGCGAACGGGAUUAGAUACCCCGGUAGUCCUAGCCGUA
rnacentral:rRNA from 1 species